rnacentral:rRNA from 1 species
GACGAACGCUGGCGGCACGCUUAACACAUGCAAGUCGAACGAGAGAAGAGAAGCUUGCUUUUCUGAUCUAGUGGCGGACGGGUGAGUAACACGUGAGCAAUCUGCCUUUCAGAGGGGGAUACCGAUUGGAAACGAUCGUUAAUACCGCAUAACAUCAUUGAACCGCAUGAGUUGAUUAUCAAAGAUUUAUCGCUGAAAGAUGAGCCCGCGUCUGAUUUGCUAGUUGGUAAGGUGAGGGCUUACCAAGGCGACGAUCAGUGGCCGGACGGGGAGGUUGGCCGGCCACAGUGGGACUGAGACACGGCCCUGACUCCUGCGGGAGGCAGCAGUGGGGUAGCUUGCACGAUGGAGGCAACUCUGAUGCAGCGCGGCCGCGUGAGGGAGGAAUGUUGUUUGAUUGCAAACCUCGGUCUUCACGGACGGAAAAAGACGGUACCUGAGGAAGAAGCACCGGCUAACUACGUG